GAAACAUGGGAAAUAUGGGAGGAAACAUGGGAAAUAUGGGAGGAAAUAUGGGAGGAAAUAUGAGAGGAAACAUGGGAAAUAUGGGAGGAAACAUGGGAGGAAACACAGGAAGAAAUAUGGGCGGAUGGUAGACAUGUGGACAGGUUAACCAGCACAUGCUCCAACAUUGCAGACUUUUACAGAGUUCUUGUGCUUAUAAAAUAAACAUUCAUUGUAAUUCAUCAAAACAUCAUGGACAGACUUUUUAAGUGUUCUUUGUUUAUAGAUGUGAUUUGAACUUGUUUUUGUAUAUGUGCUUACUGUUGUCUUCUGGAAGAAGAUAAUAAAUAAAACGCC
rnacentral:misc_RNA from 1 species